UUGAAUUCAAACGCGAAGUUGUGCUGGCUUGUCAAAAGCAUGUGCACGCUACGCAUAUAUUCAACCACCUGUGAACCUAUUGUAGACCCUGAGGAUAUUUCUCAAGGAAACUUGGACGUAAAGUUUGUUGGCAUCUUUUAUAGAGGUCGACUUGCUUUUGCUUCUCAGGUCUAUGUUUUUAUAACACCCCAUAAUACGUUAUAGAAUGUUAUGAAUGGCUUAAUAAGCCUUUAAAAUUAUAUA
rnacentral:misc_RNA from 1 species